rnacentral:rRNA from 1 species
CCAAUAGCGUAUAUUAAAGUUGUUGCAGUUAAAAAGCUCGUAGUUGAAUUUCGGGACCAAUAUGUCUGUCGUGCCUUCGGUACGUACGGGUAUAAUUGGUUCCUACCUUCUGAUGAACCUUGAUGCCAUUAAUUUGGUGUCUUGGGGACUCAGGACUGUUACCUUGAAAAAAUUAGAGUGUUUAAAGCAGGCAUGCGCUUGAAUACAUUAGCAUGGAAUAAUGAAAUAGGACGUUCGAUUCCAUUUUGUUGGUUUCUAGGAUCGACGUAAUGAUUAAUAGGGAUAGUUGGGGGCAUUAGUAUUCAAUUGUCAGAGGUGAAAUUCUUGGAUUUAUUGAAGACUAACUACUGCGAAAUCAUUUGCCAAGGAUGUUUUCAUUAAUCAAGAACGAAAGUUAGGGGAUCGAAGACGAUCAGAUACCGUCGUAGUCUUAACCAUAAACUAUGCCGACUAGGGAUCGGAUGAUGUUGAUUUUUUAAUGACUCAUUCGGCGCCUUACG